rnacentral:rRNA from 1 species
UACGGGAGGCAGCAGUGGGGAAUAUUGCACAAUGGGCGAAAGCCUGAUGCAGCUAUGCCGCGUGUAUGAAGAAGGCCUUAGGGUUGUAAAGUACUUUCAUCGGGGAGGAAAAAACAAAACUAAUAAUUUUAUUUCUUGACGUUACCCGAAAAAGAAGCACCGGCUAACUCCGUGCCAGCAGCCGCGGUAAUACGGAGGGUGCUAGCGUUAAUCAGAAUUACUGGGCGUAAAGAGCACGUAGGUGGUUUUUUAAGUCAGAUGUGAAAUCCCUGGGCUUAACCUAGGAACUGCAUUUUGAAACUGAAAUACUAGAGUAUCGUAGAGGGAGGUAGAAUUCUAGGUGUAGCGGUGAAAUGCGUAGAUAUCUGGAGGAAUACCUGUGGCGAAAGCGGCCUCCUAAACGAAUACUGACACUGAGGUGCGAAAAGCGUGGGGAGCAAACAGGGAUUAGAUCC